GUUACUGCUAUCGGAGUUCGAUUAAGCCAUGCGAGUCUAAAGGUUUCUUCGGAAACCUUGGCGGACUGCUCAGUAACACGUGGAUAACCUACCCUUGGGACUGGAAUAACCCCGGGAAACUGGGGAUAAUACCGGAUAGAUCAGGGAUGCUGGAAUGCGCCUUGAUCCAAAGCUCCGGCGCCCAAGGAUGGGUCUGCGGCCUAUCAGGUUGUAGUGGGUGUAACGUACCUACUAGCCGACGACGGGUACGGGUUGUGAGAGCAAGAGCCCGGAGAUGGAUUCUGAGACACGAAUCCAGGCCCUACGGGGUGCAGCAGGCGCGAAAACUUUACAAUGUGCGAAAGCAUGAUAAGGGAACUCCGAGUGCCAGUAUCUAAUACUGGCUGUCCUUGUGCCUAAAACGCACAAGAUAGCAAGGGCCGGGUAAGACCGGUGCCAGCCGCCGCGGUAACACCGGCGGCCCGAGUGGUAGCCGCUAUUAUUGGGUCUAAAGGGUCCGUAGCCGGUUCGAUAAGUCUUCUGGGAAAUCUGGUUGCUUAACAAUCAGACUGCCAAGGGAUACUGUCGAACUUGAGACCGGGAGAGGUAAGAGGUACUUCAGGGGUAGGAGUGAAAUCUUGUAAUCCCUGGGGGACCAUCUGUGGCGAAGGCGUCUUACCAGAACGGGUCUGACGGUGAGGGACGAAAGCUGGGGGCGCAAACCGGAUUAGAUACCCGGGUAGUCCCAGCCGUAAACGAUGCUCGCUAUGUGUCAGGUACGGUGUGACCGUAUCUGGUGCCGUAGGGAAGCCGUGAAGCGAGCCACCUGGGAAGUACGGUCGCAAGACUGAAACUUAAAGGAAUUGGCGGGGGAGCACUACAACGGGUGGAGCCUGCGGUUUAAUUGGAGUCAAC
rnacentral:rRNA from 1 species